rnacentral:lncRNA from 1 species
CAAUGCCAUCCUUGAAAAGGUGUUCAUAUCUAUUACCAAGUAUCCUGAUAAGAAAAGGCUGGAGGGCCUGUCAAAGCAGCUGGAUUGGAAUGUCCGAAAAAUCCAAUGCUGGUUUCGCCAUCGGAGGAAUCAGGACAAGCCCCCAACGCUUACUAAAUUCUGUGAAAGCAUUCACCUUGGUUCUGGGACAUCCGACAGUGCUGGCAUAACUAUCCAUUUCAGCCUCUUUCAAGUGGGCUUUAUUACUAUUAUAUCAUGGAAUUGGCCUUCUAUUGGUCCCUUAUGUUUUCUCAGUUUACAGACAUUAAAAGAAAGGACUUCCUGAUCAUGUUUGUGCAUCACUUGGUCACCAUUGGGCUUAUCUCCUUCUCCUACAUCAACAAUAUGGUUCGAGUGGGAACUCUGAUCAUGUGUCUACAUGAUGUCUCAGACUUCUUGCUGGAGCUCAAUUCUUUCUUCCUUUCUCCAGGCAGCCAAACUGGCCAAUUAUGCCAAGUAUCAGCGGCUCUGUGACACCCUUUUUGUGAUCUUCAGUGCUGUUUUUAUGGUUACACGACUAGGAAUCUAUCCAUUCUGGACCUCUGCUGCCUCACACCGUAUUUCUAGCAAGGUCGGAUCCAGACUCAGAGUACCCGGCUUGGUUGGCUUCUCAGGACUGACUCAUCUCAGGAACAGUCCUCAUUUUAUGCCUAAGAUUCUGAACACGACCCUCUUUGAGAGCUGGGAGAUAAUCGGGCCUUAUGCUUCAUGGUGGCUCCUCAAUGGCCUGCUGCUGACCCUACAGGUUCUGCAUGUCAUCUGGUCCUACCUAAUUGCACGGAUUGCUUUGAAAGCCUUGAUCAGGGGAAAGGUGAGGAUGAAAGAUGGCUUCUUUCUUUUGGGUAUGGAAGAUAGGGAUUACUCAACAGACGUUCUCUCUCCAUCAAACCUGGUGAGCCCCAUCUACUCAAGCAGGCCAAGCAAAAAGCCUAGGGCUCCAAAGUCUUCACCUCUUCGGUAUCGAAGGAUGACCGCAGUGAUGUGGAGAGCAGCUCAGAGGAAGAAGAUGUGACCACCUGCACAAAAAGUCCCUGUGACAGUAGCUCCAGCAAUGGUGCCAAUCGGGUGAAUGGUCACAUGGGAGGCAGCUACUGGGCUGAAGAGUAAGGUGGUUGCUAUGGGGACUUCAGCACACAUGGACUUGUAGGGCCACUGGCAACAUACUCCUCUUGGCCCUUCCCAUAUCUACUCUUCUGUGAUUGGGAGACUGCAAGGCACUGAGGAGUAUCAAAGAAGCAAAUAUUUUCACUUUGAAAGAAAACUGCCAUUUUGUAUUUAAUAGUCUCCAGGUUCUUUCAGUAAUGUUAUUUGCUCUGUGUGUUUUUGUGUGUUUGUUGAUGUGCGUUUGUGCAUAUGCGUGAGUUUCAUUGCCGGGUUGGGGCACAAUUGUGGACUGGGGCCGUGAGGCCUUCCCUGGUCCCCACUGAACCCACCUUAGUUCCACAUUUGGCUGCAUCUUGAAUUAUGCCGACUCCAGACUGUCUCCUCCUUUUUUGCCCUUGGCUCUUGACACUCUAAACCCCUGGACCAUCUGAAUGGAGCAGUCAAGUGCAGUCCCAGAUUUCUGUACUGUUCCUCUUUCACAGCUGGAAUAUGUCACAUGAUGAAGUUGUAUAGAAACAGAACCAUGGAUGGAUGGCCAGGAUUGCCGUGGUCCCUAGCUAGAUCCCCUUCCUAUCAAUCACCUGAUAGCAACAGGGACAGCUGCCAAUACCCUGCUCUUUACUCAAUGGUACCCAGGGAGGGAGCAUGGGAAGAGGGUGAGCUGAGGGCUGGGGGAGGGCAACAGCCACUGGGUGAGCUGUUCACGGUCUUAUACUAUUGUUUGUGAUUAAAAGUGCUUCAACCCACCUCUACUGUCUCAACCUCUUCAGUGACUCUAUCUGCAGUUUCCUGAAUCCAUAAGCUAAUUAAGAGCUUUUCC